CCCUUAGAUGUUCUGGGCCGCACGCGCGCUACACUGAUGCAUUCAACGAGUUUCUUCCUGGUCCGAGAGGAAUGGGUAACCUUUUGAAAGUGCAUCGUGAUAGGGAUAGACUAUUGCAAUUAUUGGUCUUCAACGAGGAAUUCCUAGUAGACGUAGUUCAUCAGAAUGCAUCGAUUACGUCCCUGCCCUUUGUACACACCGCCCGUCGCUCCUACCGAUUGAAUGCUCAGGUGAGCCAUUCGGACUUUCAUCAUGCUGGUUUCCAGUUUUGAUGAAGGAAAGUCUUGCGAACCUUAUCAUUUAGAGGAAGGAGAAGUCGUAACA
rnacentral:rRNA from 1 species